rnacentral:rRNA from 1 species
GAUAAACGCUGGCGGCGUGCCUUAUGCAUGCAAGUCGUACGUGAGACCGGCUUCGGCCGGUUGAAAGUGGCGAACGGGUGAGUAACACGUAGGAACCUGCCCGGAAGUGGGGGAUAACUCCGCGAAAGCGGGGCUAAUACCGCAUGUGGUCGCAAGACCAAAGCUUCGGCGCUUCCGGAGGGGCCUGCGGCGGAUUAGCUAGUUGGUGGGGUAACGGCCUACCAAGGCGACGAUCCGUAGCUGGUCUGAGAGGAUGGUCAGCCACACUGGAACUGGGACACGGUCCAGACUCCUACGGGAGGCAGCAGCAAGGAAUUUUGCGCAAUGGGCGAAAGCCUGACGCAGCAACGCCGCGUGGGGGAAGAAGGCCUUCGGGUUGUAAACCCCUUUUGCGAGGGAAGAAGAUCUGACGGUACCUCGCGAAUAAGCCACGGCUAACUACGUGCCAGCAGCCGCCGUAA